CAACAAUGGAAAGGAGGUGAUCCAGUGUCGAGAGUCAUGCUGGAGAGAGGUGUCGGGACAGCGCGAGAGGCGCGCCUC
rnacentral:sRNA from 1 species